rnacentral:rRNA from 1 species
GACGAACGCUGGCGGCGUGCUUAACACAUGCAAGUCGAACGGAAAGGCCCUGCUUUUGUGGGGUGCUCGAGUGGCGAACGGGUGAGUAACACGUGAGUAACCUGCCCUUGACUUUGGGAUAACUUCAGGAAACUGGGGCUAAUACCGGAUAGGAGCUCCUGCUGCAUGGUGGGGGUUGGAAAGUUUCGGCGGUUGGGGAUGGACUCGCGGCUUAUCAGCUUGUUGGUGGGGUAGUGGCUUACCAAGGCUUUGACGGGUAGCCGGCCUGAGAGGGUGACCGGCCACAUUGGGACUGAGAGACGGCCAAGACUCCUACGGGAGGCAGCAGUGGGGAAUAUUGCACAAUGGGCGGAAGCCUGAUGAAGCAACGCCGCGUGCGGGAUGACGGCCUUCGGGUUGUAAACCGCUUUCGCCUGUGACGAAGCGUGAGUGACGGUAAUGGGUAAAGAAGCACCGGCUAACUAAGUG